rnacentral:rRNA from 1 species
AGCGAACGCUGGCGGCAGGCCUAACACAUGCAAGUCGAACGAACUCUUCGGAGUUAGUGGCGGACGGGUGAGUAACACGUGGGAACGUGCCUUUAGGUUCGGAAUAACUCAGGGAAACUUGUGCUAAUACCGAAUGUGCCCUUCGGGGGAAAGAUUUAUCGCCUUUAGAGCGGCCCGCGUCUGAUUAGCUAGUUGGUGAGGUAAAGGCUCACCAAGGCGACGAUCAGUAGCUGGUCUGAGAGGAUGAUCAGCCACAUUGGGACUGAGACACGGCCCAAACUCCUACGGGAGGCAGCAGUGGGGAAUCUUGCGCAAUGGGCGAAAGCCUGACGCAGCCAUGCCGCGUGAAUGAUGAAGGUCCUAGGAUUGUAAAAUUCUUUCACCGGGGACGAUAAUGACGGUACCCGGAGAAGAAGCCCCGGCUAACUUCGUG